AGACGAACGCUGGCGGCGCGUCUAAAGCAUGCAAGUCGAGCGGCAAGGGGAGCUUGCUCCCCCUAGAGCGGCGGACUGGUGAGUAACGCGUGGGUGAUCUACCCUUAGGUUGGGGAUAGCCCCUAGAAAUAGGGGGUAAUACCGAAUGUGGUUGUCCGAUUAUGAUUGGAUAAAGAAAGGAGCUACGGCUCCGCCUGAAGAUGAGCCCGCGUCCCAUUAGCUGGUUGGCGGGGUAAAGGCCCACCAAGGCUCUGAUGGGUAGCCGGCCUGAGAGGGUGAACGGCCACACUGGGACUGAGAUACGGCCCAGACUCCUACGGGAGGCAGCAGCUAAGAAUAUUCCGCAAUGGUCGAAAGACUGACGGAGCGACGCCGCGUGGAUGACGAAGGCCGAAAGGUUGUAAAAUCCUUUUGCCAGUGAAGAAUAAGCGGGGGAGGGAAUGCCCUUGUGAUGACGUUAGCUGGUGAAUAAGCCCCGGCUAAUUACGUGCCAGCAGCCGCGGUAACACGUAAGGGGCGAGCGUUGUUCGGAAUUAUUGGGCGUAAAGGGCGCGUAGGCGGCUUAGUAAGCCUGGCGUGAAAUCCUCCGGCUUAACCGGGGAACUGCGUGAGGAACUGCGGAGCUAGAGUCAUGGAGGGGAAGUUGGAAUUCCUAGUGUAGGGGUGAAAUCUGUAGAUAUUAGGAAGAACACCGGUGGCGAAGGCGAACUUCUAGCCAAUGACUGACGCUGAGGCGCGAAAGUGCGGGGAGCAAACAGGAUUAGAUACCCUGGUAGUCCGCACUAUAAACGAUGUACACUAGGUGUUGGGCCGUGCGGCUCAGUGCCGAAGCGAACGUGAUAAGUGUACCGCCUGGGGAGUAUGCCCGCAAGGGUGAAACUCAAAAGGAAUUGACGGGGUCUUGACGGGACGACUGGCGGUGGUGGUACUGAUCUGCACAGAACAAAUGGAUCACCAGUAGUGCCUUCUGGACAGCUGCAGGUUGGU
rnacentral:rRNA from 1 species